UACGUAGGGGGCAAGCGUUGUCCGGAAUCAUUGGGCGUAAAGCGCGUGUAGGCGGCCCGAUAAGUCCGCUGUGAAAGUCCAGGGCUCAACCCUGGGAUGCCGGUGGAUACUGUCGGGCUCGAGUCCGGAAGAGGAGUGUGGGAAUUCCUGGUGUAGCGGUGAAAUGCGCAGAUAUCAGGAGGAACACCAAUGGUGAAGGCAGCACUCUGGGACGUGACUGACGCUGAGACGCGAAAGCGUGGGGGAGCAAACAGG
rnacentral:rRNA from 1 species